rnacentral:tRNA from 1 species
AUUACUUUGGCAGACGAAUGUGCUAGACUUAGGAUCUAGUUAUGCGGCGGAAGGCCGCAGGUAAUA